rnacentral:rRNA from 1 species
GACGAACGCUGGCGGCGUGCUUAACACAUGCAAGUCGAACGGAAAGGCCCUGCUUUUGUGGGGUGCUCGAGUGGCGAACGGGUGAGUAUCACGUGAGUAACCUGCCCUUGACUUUGGGAUAACUUCAGGAAACUGGGGCUAAUAUCGGAUAGGAGAUCCUGCUGCAUGGUGGGGGUUGGAAAGUUUCGGCGGUUGGGGAUGGACUCGAGGCUUAUCAGCUUGUUGGUGGGGUGGUGGCUUACCAAGGCUUUGACGGGUAGCCGGCCUGCGAGGGUGACCGGCCACAUUGGGACUGAGAUACGGCCCGGACUCCUACGGGAGGCAGCAGUGGGAAAUAUUGCACGAUGGGCGGAAGCCUGAUGCAGCAACGCCGCGUGCGGGAUGACGGCCGUCGGGUUGUAAACCGCUUUCGCCUGUGACGAAGCGUGAGUGACGGUAAUGGGUAAAGAAGCACCGGCUAACUACGUG